AUGUAUGUGAACUGUGACUUUACUGAGCUGAGCAUUUGGUAUCGACACCUGGUGCUUCAGCAGAAGAAGUCAAGGAUCAUGACGAAGAUGUUCCAGUGGGUCUUCCCAGUGCUACUAUUUGUUUGUGGGGUCAGAUGCCAAGUCCAGGUGAACCAGAGCCUGCUGGAGGUCACCAGGGAAGGAGAGACUUCCACCAUCGCCUGCAAGUACGAAUCAAGCUCUUUCUACAGCUUGCAAUGGUACCGGCAGUUCCCGGGAGAGGGGCCUCUGCAUCUGCUCACGAUAACGGGAAAGGAACCCAAAAAGGAACGCAACUUCAGCGCCGACCUCAACAAAGAGGAAAAGUCGGGUCGCCUGAACGUCACCGGGGUCCAGCAUAGAGAUGCAGCCACCUACUUUUGUGCCGUGGAAGCACAGUGA